rnacentral:pre_miRNA from 1 species
AGGAAGGUUGUGGCUCAGAGGUUAAAAUAGCUCGAGCCGCAACCUCCCUUUCU